UACGUAGGAUGCGAGCGUUAUCCGGAUUUAUUGGGUUUAAAGGGUGCGUAGGCGGACUGUCAAGUCAGCGGUAAAAUUGAGAGGCUCAACCUCUUCCCGCCGUUGAAACUGGUGGUCUUGAGUGGAUGAGAAGUACGCGGAAUGCGUGGUGUAGCGGUGAAAUGCAUAGAUACCACGCAGAACUCCGAUUGCGAAGGCAGCGUACCGGCAUCCAACUGACGCUGAGGCACGAAAGCGUGGGGAUCAAACAGG
rnacentral:rRNA from 1 species